rnacentral:rRNA from 1 species
UACGUAGUGGGCAAGCGUUGUCCGGAAUUAUUGGGCGUAAAGAGCGUGUAGGCGGCCAGAUAAGUCCGCUGUGAAAUCUCGAGGCUCAACUUCGAGCUGUCGGUGGAAACUAUCUGGCUAGAGUCCGGAAGAGGAGAAUGGAAUUCCUGGUGUAGCGGUGAAAUGCGCAGAUAUCAGGAAGAACACCCGUGGCGAAGGCGGUUCUCUGGGACGGUACUGACGCUGAGACGCGAAAGCGUGGGGAGCGAACAGG